GACGAACGCUGGCGGCGUGCUUAACACAUGCAAGUCGAACGGAAAGGCCCUGCUUUUGUGGGGUGCUCGAGUGGCGAACGGGUGAGUAACACGUGAGUAACCUGCCCUUGACUUUGGGAUAACUUCAGGAAACUGGGGCUAAUACCGGAUAGGAGCUCCUGCUGCAUGGUGGGGGUUGGAAAGUUUCGGCGGUUGGGGAUGGACUCGCGGCUUAUCAGCUUGUUGGUGGGGUAGUGGCUUACCAAGGCUUUGACGGGUAGCCGGCCUGAGAGGGUGACCGGCCACAUUGGGACUGAGAUACGGCCCAGACUCCUACGGGAGGCAGCAGUGGGGAAUAUGCACAAUGGGCGGAAGCCUGAUGCAGCAACGCCGCGUGCGGGAUGACGGCCUUCGGGUUGUAAACCGCCUUCGCCUGUGACGAAGCGUGAGUGACGGUAAUGGGUAAAGAAGCACCGGCUAACUACGUG
rnacentral:rRNA from 1 species